rnacentral:ncRNA from 1 species
UAAAAUGCAGUGACAAGGAGGAGUACAUAAUCGCCGGAUGUUCAGAGAAAAGACGGCUGGUGGAAGUCUUUGUGAAGGGAUUAUGGAAGGUAGCCUUCGAGCAGUGGACCGAACCAUGAUAUACCAAGUAUCAUGCAGUAGACUCCAACGUAAUUUCCACGUUACAGGAAAGCAGUAUAGUUUCUUCUGUACUGGCUGAGUGCAGAGAGUGAUUCUCUGAAAUUAGGUGGUAACACGGAUCAAUUCGCCCUAAGC